UGACAAAGAUCCCAUUUUUUGCCUAGGGAUUUCAAGAUAUUAUUUAACUUUUAUCAUCAUUCACAUUCCUUUCUUUUGCUAAAAUCAGUUAAAAACUUGAAUCAAUCACAGCAGUACACCACUGCAGCAUUUCCUUUUUCCCUUUUCAUUUUAUUUUUUUAUUAUUAUUAUUUUUUCUUUUCUUCUUCUUCUUCUUCAGGUCUUCUCCUCUGCUCUCCUCUCUUCACCCUUCUUCAAUCAAUCAAUUGCCUGCAUGCCUGCACACACAAAACACUUUAUUCGCAUCAUUUGAUCACUGGAUGAUGCUUCGCUAGUUUAGUUUUGGAUUCUAAAUCGGAGAAAAUUGAAACAAAAACUAUUUCCUGAUCUGAUGGAUCCCAAGAACUCGAAGCUGCCGCAGGAGAUGCCGAGCUUCUUGAGCCUCCCCACCCAGUCAUCAACGCCCCGAAGCCAAAACGACAGCGUAGGGGCAGGGGCGACCAAGCCAGCAGAGAUCAAAGACUUUCAGAUUGUGAUUGCAGAUAAAGAAGAGCCAAAGAAACAGUCUUUAGCGCCUAAACGAAGCUCGAACAAAGAUAGGCACACAAAAGUUGAAGGACGAGGUAGGAGAAUAAGGAUGCCUGCUCUCUGCGCUGCAAGAAUAUUUCAGCUGACCCGAGAAUUAGGGCACAAAUCUGAUGGGGAAACUGUUCAGUGGUUGCUACAACAGGCUGAACCAUCUAUAAUUGCCGCCACGGGAACUGGCACCAUACCUGCUUCGGCUUUAGCUGCCGCAGGCGGCUCUGUUUCUCAGCAGGGGAGUUCAAUUUCAUCAGGUCUUCACCAUAAAGUCGACGAUUUGGGGGUGCACAUGAGCGGUGGGACCCCCUGGCCUGUGGUUGGUGGUAAUUUGGGGAGACUACAUCAACAUGUGGGUGUGGGUGUGGGUGCCAGUACAGGAGGAGGAGGAGGAGGGUUAUGGCCCCCCGGCCCUGCCCCUGCUGCUGCUGUGCCUGUGAGCGGGUUUGGAUUUCAAUCGUCCUCGUCGUCAUCCUCCUCGUCAGGUCCAUCAAUGGGGACCGAGAGUUCAAAUUAUUUGCAGAAGAUGGGAUACCCAGCUGGGUUUGACUUGGCAACAGCAGGGAAUAUAGGGGGAGGGGGAGGGGGGCAUAUGAGUUUCAGCUCCAUUUUAGGUGGGCAGCAGCUCCAGCUCCCUGGAUUGGAGCUAGGUCUAUCGCAUGAUGGGAACAUUGGCAUUUUGAAUCCUCAGGCGCUCAACCAGAUUUACCAGCAGAUCGGGCAGGCUAGAAUUGUUCAUCAUCAGCAGCACCAACCUCCAAAUCAGGAGCAGCAGCAACAACAGCAGCAGCAGCAGCAGCUAUCCUCUAAGGAGAAUUCGGAAGAAUCGGGGCAGUAGAUUGCUCAGUUUCUCUUGGAGUGGAUGGGCCUUGUAUUGUAUGUAUAAUUGCUACGUGUAUAUGGUCAAGAAUUCACUAAGGUUCUGUCCUCAUUGUAAUCGCUCAAGCUUAGCUCCACUUGGAGAAGUGAAAGUUAAAAGAAAUAGAUACUCACUGGUAUUCAGUCAGUAAGGCACAGUUCAACCUCGCAUCUGAAGUUCAUAUGAUAUUAUGAUGCCAUGGGCGAAGUGCUGUUUCAUCGAGACUUGAUACAUUCUCGGAUAAGGUAUGAUGGUAUGGACCAGUCAUUUUCUGGUAUGCGACUCUGUAAGUUUGGUAGCACUCAAUGUGGUUGAAUUAUGCUAAAGUUCAUCCUAAAGUAGCAACAAGAGCGAGCUUUAUCUCAUUGCAAAGAUCAUUUGCCUUACCCUCAGAUCUGAUUUGGGGUUGAGUUUUGCCCUAGUGAUUGGCAUUUGGAUGUGAAUAUGCUUAAAUACCUGUGUAUUGAAGAAGAACGAAGAAUGGAAAUUAUUAUUGCAUCUUGGAUCCAUCACUUAGCUAUAUCUAGCUACCUACCGUAUGUAUGUAUGUA